GAAAACAAGACACCAAAAAAAAAAAAAAAAAAAACUAUUCUGCUUCUCAUUGAAGUCACAAAUAUUACCAAAAAAAAGAAGUAAGAAAGAGAAUACCCAGUGUUGACCAAGGUGUAACAAGACAAACCCACUUAGAUAAUGCUAGUGAAAAAACUACCCAAUCUAGCUCAGGAAAAUAUUUGGCAAUAUAAAUCAGAGACAUGAAAACUAUGUACACACUUGACACAAUUUCUAAAAUUCUAUCCUACCAAAAUAAUCACAUAUGUAACAAUUUAUGUAGAAGGAUAGUCAUCAAAGUGCUAUGUUAAAAAUGGGAAAAGAACAUAAAUAUCUAACAAAAAGAAAGAAUUCAAUAAAUUGUGGCAGAGUAUGUCCAUGUGGGUAUUAAGAACAUUACAUUUUAAGAAAGUGAGAAAAUGCUCAUAAAAUAGUUAAGUUAUAAAAAUGAGCAAUGGACAUUACCAGUAGACAAUGCAGAAUUAAGCCUGAUUUCACCAUUUAUUAACCCUCUGACCCUAGGAAAAUUACUUAAACUUUCUCUGCCUGUGUUUCCUCAUCUGCAAAUGAGGAUAAUAAGGAAUAUAUCCCAAGGAGACACUAGGAGGAUUAAAUUUUUUAAUUCAUAUAAAACAUUCAAUUUUCAGUCAGUGGGAGGAAUUAUUGGUUAUUAUCAUUAUCUUGAUUUUGUAACACAGAAAAGACUGAAAAGGUCUGAAACCCUAUUCUGCCACUUUUUAGUUGUAUGACCGUGGACAUAUACCUUAAACAUUCAUAGCUCUGUCUGACUCAUCUACCAUAUAGCAAUAAUUGUCGCUAUAUUCAAAACAUUGUCCUGCAGGUAAGAGAAGACACCUAGUCGAGUACUCUGCUUGAGAGGUAUUCAACAAUGACUCUCAUAAUUAUUAAUGGUAUUCACAUAAACUUAUUACCAAGAAUCCCCCUUGGUCUUAAGCCACAAGUAAAAUAAAAAGAGGGGAAAAUUCUAAAUUUUUGAGUAAAACAACAAAGAUCAGAAUAUUUAGGCAGCUCCCCAGUCCUAAUCCAGAGUAACAGAACAGCAUCAACCUCCAAACUUGCCUUUUUCCCAUCUCUUUAAGAAAAAGACCAAAAAGGGGGCAACAUUUGAAGUUCCUAAUCUUAUAACCCCUAAAAUCCCAAGAUAUAAUACUUUGCCCUUUUUUCUUACACUUCUCCUCUUCCAUUCUAACUGUUGUUGUUUUGUUUUAAUAACUAAAAUACUCUUGCUGUUGAUUUUACGUAAGUAGAAAAUAUAUUUUUCAAUGACAGGCUCAUUUCCAAAAUUAUUUACCUUCAUUUUGGAUUGAUAUCCUUGCACUGCUAAUAACUUCAAGGACUUUAGCAUAGCUAUUGUCACAUCAUCCUCUCUGCCGCAAACCCCUGGGAUGAUUCCCCAUUUCCUAACAAAAAAAAUUCCAAACCCCUUAGCAUGGACAUUCUAGAUCCUAUAAAGAGUUCACGUUUUCCUUCAUAAACCUUCAUCCAAAUGGACUCAAAGUAUUUAUUACACAACCUAACAAAUUUCCCUUCCCCAUUAAAACAUAUUUCCCUUCCAAAUGAACCUACUUAUCACUAAUCUCGCUUAACAUGAAUUCACCCCACAACAGCAUGAAUCAGUGCUUCAUAGUUUGCCAUGUGCACUUCCCCAGCCUUCUCCUCUGGGACCUCGAAACCACAGCAGGAUAGACAAAGGUGGUUGUCUUGAUUUUGCAGUGAGUCCAAGAGAAGCACAGCAAAGUGAACACUGCAGUGUUCUCACUCAGUUUCUCGCAUGUCUCCAGGGCUCUUUCUUCCCCCGCUGCAACCUGUAUGGCCUUUCUAAAGAUACCAGUUCAAGGACAGGUUGAGAUAGGGAUAUGGCUGUGUUAUUUUGGGGUUUUUAAUUUUCCUGCCAGGAUGCUGAGAGGCCUAAUUCUACUCCCCUUGCUUCUAUGUUUGGCAGACAGCCUGUGUAGGAAGUGGCACUCCAGAAACAUGUUUUACUUAGUAUUUUCUGUUUUGACCCUCUCAACAUCAGUUAUAGUGCUGAGAACAAAAUAAUUGCUCAUUUAUUCACCUACUAUGUUCCAGAAGCUAUUCCAGGAAUUCAGCUGUAAACACAACAAAUGCCUUUUCUUCAUGAAGCAUUUAAAGGGGAAAAAAAUAACAAAAACAAAACCAGUAAACCAAUAAACAGCAAAUAUAAUGAGAAGUUAGGCUAAUUUUUAAAGGAGGGAACACAGUACAGAGAUUUAAAAAAAAGGGGGGAGGGGUGAAUGGCCAAAAUGCUGUAAUCCCAGCAUUUUGGGAGGCCGAGGCAAGAGGAUCACUUGAUGCCAGCAGUUCAAAACCAGCCUGGGCAACACAGCUAGACCCUGUCUUUACGGAAAAAGAUAAUAGAGAAAGAAAAUUGUGGGACACUGUUUUAGAUAGGGUAUAAAUAUUGUUGACAAAUGAAUUAAUUCCAACUUCUUGUAUUCCAGCCAAAUUAAAUAUCUUUCCCAAAGAAAUCUUAUUUUUAAAAUGUUAAAAACCAAAAUACAUGCAGUUAUGAAAAACAUUCCCCAAACAGAAAGCUGAUCUGACAAACAGAUCAACAACUAAGUCAAUAAAUUUCAUGGUUAAAACCAAGGUCUAGAUGGCUUCUUUGAGACUCAGUUCUUGAAAACUUGAUAAACUUAGUUAUGUUCCAACAACUCAAGGCUUCAGAUAAACAAAGUCCAUAUCCAUGGAGUUUAAAGAACUUGACCAACUAAAUCCCUGGAAAAAGAAAUAGAGGGAUGAUGCAUGACUGGGGGAAACACCUUGCCUUCCUUCCCACUGAGGCCUUGACACCAUGUGGUCAUGGUGUAUAGCACCAGGACUGACGACUCUACUAGGCCAGCAACCUCAGCUUGGCCUGGAAAAGAAAACUGGGCACCUGGUGUGCCCAAGAUAGCCUGGUUAGGCCUGCCAACCAGGAGUCACCCAGGUUUGGGGGGAGUCCAGGAGCCUUGUCAAAAGUGGUCCCUUAUCAGGUUUUUAACCACACUGCAAGGCCAGGAUAGAAGGAGCUAAUGAAAAUUGGGGAAAUGAAAGAGCAGGUUACAAGUGGAGAGUUUGAAGAGGAAAAAUCAAAAGCAAAAUGAAGGCUAAAAAAAGGAAAUAAAAUGCCCAGUGAAGGGAUUUUAGGGGCUGGGAAAAGUGGUACAGAUGAGCUUAAGAGUGACUCAAAAAUAACCCAUAAACACAGCCUGGCAGGCAUGGCUGAGCUAGGACGCUCUUCCAAAAGAGACCAAAUUGUUUUUAGAAAAGUAUUAAUACCUACUUUUCCCUCUUACAUUUUUUCCAACCUGCUAUAAACUUGUUUGGCUUUGCCAAACAUAUUUCACUUUAUGUCUUAGCUAUCAAGAGUUUGGACUCAGGAUACAGUCUUAGACUAAUCAAUCCCAAAUCAUUAAUACAUUCUCAUCAUUCCUUCUCAUGCCUUCAAUAUUCUUAUGAGUUUAAUAAAUUUUCCUUAUGCCCUCAGCCUUUUCCACAUUCCCCACAUUAUGAUGUUAUAUUAAUUUGCCUUCUCAAAACAUAAUUGUCUUAACAGGCAAACAUUUUGGUUCUUAGUUGAAAUUCCUUCCCUACCUCAGUGAUCACAGAAGGGAAGAGAAUAGACUGGUGCAUUAAUUAGUACAUUUUAACACCUUAUGAUAAAAACAUUUAUCUGGAUCUGUUUGGGUGUUUCCAAAUGGUACAGUCACCUCUAUCUGGGUUGGAUUAAUAUGGGCAUAAUUAAAAACCAGAAAUGAUCAUACUGUUUUCAGCCCAAUUUUCCUUAUAACUGCUUCCAUGAGAGUGAAGGAUAAGUAUUAACAUGUUUGCCUUUUAAUUGUAAGCUUUCUUCUAUUUACUGUCCCCCAUAUACUCACACCCACUUGCAAAUGAAAUGGAAUGAAUUUUUAACUUCAUGAAUUGAAUUUGGGAGUGAUGCUUGUUUUCCCCUGCAGCACAAUGGAUCAUGAAUGCACACAUGCAAAGUGUUCCAAUCUAAAGUACAGUGUCACAACUGAGGGGACAGGCCGCAGUGGAACACAGUGAUGCUUUACACAAACAGACAGGCUCACCUUGGGCAAAGGCCACCAUGUUUUAAAAUUAAUCAGACCCUUACAGAUAACAAAAAUUCCCUAGGGCUUAAGACACGAAGUCAGAUCUCCUAGCAUGUGGAUUAACUGUGAAAAAACACUUGGUCACCUGAGAAGCCAAGUGCCCCAGAAUGUGAGCACUGUAACAAUGACAGUAAUGAAAAUGUAACACUCUAAGAUGGAAUCAUGGAUGCUCUGCUAAGCACCAGGGCAUCCUGAACCCUCACAAUAGCACUUCAAGGCAGAUAGAUACUGAUACCACAUUCUACACGGUGGGAAAGUGAGGCUCAGAGAGAUCAGGUUUAAAAAGAAAAUUAGGUUGUACACUGGCUACCAGUGACUUCUAUUGAAGCUACUACCAUUGUGGAUCCAGACAAAAUUCUAUUUCCUACUAAGAAAUGGCUCUUCUUGCGUAAGUUAGUGUUUUCCCUCAUACCAUCCAUCAUCCCAUCCAACAGCCUGCUUAGUCGGUCAAUGACUCAUUGACAGUGAAAUCUACAGACAUAAAUGCCAUCAGCUACUGAUUUCAGACAAGAGAGAAGACAGACCUUGGAGUCUGGAACAUGGCCUGAACAAGACACUGCCAGAUGUGAUUUUGAGGAGGAUGACCCAAAUAAAUAAAAUAAGAAAUGAAAAAGGAGAUGUUACAAUUGAUACCACAAAAAUACAAAGGCUCAUUAGAGACUUUUGGGGGGGAGGAGAACAACAGGUAUACAUGAGACACACAAGUGAAUAAAAGAAGUAUCAGGUGAGUAGCACUAAGGAGAUUCAGAACCUGUACCCCUUAAGCCUCUACUGAGCGAAUGUCAUGCCAUGAUGCUAUUAAAUAGCAACUAGCAGAGUAUAAACAAAGGUAGAACCCAAGUUCACUGCAGAGUGUAAGGGUCAUGACACCAGACCCCUAGAGAAGGAAAUAUAACACAGGCAGAUUAGUUGGAUAAGACAUUUUUAGAUGGCCAUAAUGAUGAACAUAGCCAUUGUUUCUCAUCUUUUAGAAUUAAUCCAUAAUAAUGCACAGGAAAUUUAAUCAUGGCUACAGAAUGAAAUGUAAAUGUUAUUACCCAUAACAAAAUAGCCAUAAAAGUAGCAAAAGUUAGUGGUUUUAAGGGAAAAGAAGAGGUAGAGGGACUCGUCAGGACACCAACAACCUCUUCAUACAAGGGAGAGUGUCCAGGACACUGUCCACAGUAAUUUGAGCCAAACAGAAACACACAUACAUAGCUUAUUGAUUCGCACAUGUGUGUGAGUGCACAUAUAUAUAUGUAUAUACAUAUAUAUAUAUUUUACGUAUUUACAUAUAGAAAAUACACAAAAUCUGAAGUUGCAAACAUAACGGGAGGAAGGAGAUGUGACUAUUGAAGGUGGUGUCAAUGAACUAAAUCCACAUCCACGACAGCAAAAGUCAUUAGACAGCACCUGAAAUUGACAGAUGAAGAAGUAGCAGCUUACACACACUAUUAAGACAUAGGAAGCAGCCACCUGAGCAUCAAAAACAAACUGUUCAGAGAGGUUGCAUUUGUUCAUCCAGAAAAGCACACUCCAGAGUCUGUGAUCAAUCAGUAUUUGCUGAAUGAACAGAUGAGUGGACAAAAGUGGAAGGUAGACCAGACUUUCCUGGGGCACUGAUGUUGGCCUUGGCCAUGAGACUUGAUAUAUGGGAAUAUGAGACAGACAUGAGGCACAUCAAUGUCUGAACAGAAGCUCCUGUGAGCUUUUGCUCUCUGAAGGCCCUAAUGACUUCUCCUGAAGCCUGGAUCCUGGACUGAGAAGUCAUGAGAAGCUGUCCCCAGGAAACCCCAGCUAAGACUGCCAACCAGCCACAGCCCAUCUUCAGCCACAGGUGUUACAAGCAAACAAAUACGCAUUUGUUCUUAUAAGCCCUUGAAAGUCUGGGGUUGCUUGUUACUGCAGCAAAAGCUAACACCAUCCUUGCCAGUUAACUAGGAAUACUUUUAACACAAAAACUCAAGUCAUAGCUUUAUCUUUCAUGUAAGUUGCAUAACUCAAAACAUCCGACUAUAAUAGCACUACACCUAUAACAAGUAAAUUCUCACUUAAUGGAGAACUUUUUUUGAAUAGCUACUGUAGAAAAAUGGACAAAGAAGAGAAUAUAUCAACCAUUCUUCUGGUUGAUAAGAGCACCAAAGCUUCAAAUGGUCACCAGUAAAACAACAAUAGCAACAAGAAACCAGAGUGCUUAUAGCAUGCCAGGCAUUGUUCCAAGUCUGUUAUAUACACUCACAUAUUUUCCCAACAACCCAGGGAUGUGGGUCCUAUUUUUAUCCCUUUUAUAUACAAAGAAACAGCUAACAUAGAACAGUUAACAAACUUGCCCAAAAAAGAAAUGGAUAACCUCAUUCUCCAUAUAUUAUAAUUCCAGGUAAUGCCUCUUCAAAUCUUAGCAUUCUCUGUAUUACACUUUCAAUAUAUUAAUAACCAAAACAGAUUUAAAAAAAUAUUCUAAGUACAGGUAUUCCAUCACCCCUCAGGAAAGUUACCCCUAUGAUCACAUAUCCUAUAAAUUCUGAGAACCAUUCUAAUAAUUAUUCCAAUUCAUUUUUUUCAACAUGUAGUCACGCCUCCCACUCUGCAAUGCUGUUCUCAAAUCCCCCCUCAGAUAAGAAUCUCUUCCGAGGAUCAAGAACCUGCCUUGGUCUAAAUCCCCACCCAAAACCUUCCCCAUGUGGGAAAUCUAUGUUAAUUCUACCAAACUGAAGCUAUAAAAUAGCAAUCAUGUAUGGGGAGAAAAAGAAUGAAACUCAUAAAAAGGAAUUAACAUAUUCACGUGAGAUGCUAUAUAUAACAUGUACAAAAUAGGUAUCUGAAACUUUUUAAAUGCAACCUCCUAAAAUGUUGGGAUCACACUGAUAUAUUUUGGAGGCAUUUUGCUCAAAGUCCAAAUAAAUACAGUAGAAACUCAUGAUGAUGCUAUUUGCUGUUGGCAGAUAUGUUUUUCUACCUUCCCAUCCUGUGAUCAAAGGAAGAUCCCCAAGGCUCGCUGGUCCAACUCAACAGUUCACUGGUCCAAGGUGUGAGGUGGGGCUACAUUCCAGCUUGCACCCUAGUCACCAGGCUGUGUGCCUGGCAGGAGGGACUAGGGGCUACUGGAAGAGGGAGUGCUUUUUCCUAACUCUCAAAAAAGGGCAUGCGGCUGGUGGCCCUGGGCCUGGGAGGCUCCAGGUGCUGUGAUGGGUGAUGAUCCAGUGACCCAAUAGCACCAUCUUUACUGAUCUCAUCUUCAUCACUGGGGCUAGGAAGGGAGCCCAUAAAAUAUAUUUUAUACUAUAGUUUUCUCUCAAAAAGGGAGUGGAGAAUGAAACAAGUAAUCUUCAAACUGAUAUUCACCUUUGGUGUGUGGACCUUGAAGACCAGAGGUGGCAGAUUCAAGUGAAUGUCCCUGAGAAAGUCACAUGGUUAUCAGAUUACUGAUACCCUGGGUCCCAAAGAAACACUAACAAGUGGGGUUUGGGAGGAUGAUGUGAAGAGAAGUAAAGCAUAGUGAACCCACGACACAGCGGGCACUCUGGUCAGCACUCCCUAUGCAGUGUCAGCUCAGAGAUUAACAACCUAGAUCAGGUUGCACACACACUUAGAAACUGAGCCAGGUUGCAAACCAAGUGUUUUGAGUCCAAUAUGCUUUCCCCCUGGUGUGCCAGUGGGACUACAGUCAGCCCUUGCAAGGAUGCCGGAUCUGAGCCAAAUCACCCAGCCUCCUCAAAUGUUUGUACCAUAGAACUGACUGUAUCAGAUAUGCAGUAUGGUCCUUCCAGAGCUGGCAGGGGAGACGCCAGGAGAGUAACCACCAGGCGUAGCCUUUCAAGGCCGGAGUAUUAGACUAGAAUGAAUUGGAUGCAAGUGACAAAAUGAGCUCCAAUACAAAGGGGGAUUCAUCAGCUCCAUAAUAUUUCAAGAGCUGGGGUGAAGUUGGCCAAAGGAACUCUUUGGCUCUCUCUCUCACCUCAAGUUGACUUCACCUUUCUUACUCUGAUUCCUUGUAGCAGGAAGCGUGGCUGCUGGCAGCCCCUAUAAACAUCCUCCAGCUCCCCACGCCUCGGGUGAGAGACUGCAUCUUGUCCAGUGACUGGGGACCAGUCUAGCUUAAGCUGAGUGCCUGUCUUGGCACCAACCACUUUGGAGAGGGUGUGAUGGGCCAUAACUGGCCCAUACCAGUUCACGUGGACUUCCAUCACCACCUUCACUUCCGUAGUCCCUGAGAUGGGGCUAUUACAACCAAGAGUGGACAGAGCACUGGACAACACAAGGGCUGCGACAACAGGGAGCAGUAUGGGGGAGCAGUGAGCUCCCAAAGAAAGGUAAGCAGGUAUGGGGGCCAUUGUGAUGUCGGCCACUGCCUGCCUGCUGACUAUUCUACCCUUUCUCUUUCUCAAAACAUAGACCUCAGAGCUUUUGUCCCAAUUUUAUCUGCCUUGUGUGCAAUAACACAGAUGAACCUCAUCACUUGGCUCAGAAGACAGACAUGCAAAGACAUGCAGACUCUCACGUCCCUCAUGAACUUGCACCAAUAAAAGAGAGAGCGGAUAUAGGAAUAGCCUUUGUGUUAAAUCACCAGGACAGCAAAAGUGUUGACAGCUACCAACAGGCACUAGGGAAGAGCAACCCCCUCAGGGUCGGCCUAUAGCAGGCAGGGGCUCCUGGAAGGCCACCACCACACAGGUGAGCUGAAGCCCUGAAGAUAUUACCCAUUAACCUGUCACAACUUGCCUCCUUCCCACAGCAUUUGUGGGACAUGCCUAUUCUUGGUCCCAAAAAGCCACACCUCCUCCUGCUUCUGGCUUGGCUCAGCCAUGAACCUGUGUCUUGCAACUGCAUCCUCCAGAUGAGCUGCCUCCUCUCAGCCACAUCUUGGAACAAAUACCAGCUUCAGCAAGAGGGCCAGGAACAACAGCAUGACCUCAUCUCUGCCUAUACCUCCAAAUUUCACCCUCCUGCCCCCUUACCCCACUUUCCUUCUCAGCCACUCCUCCUCUUCCCCACCCAUCUCUAAUAGCUUUAUAGCAAACUAAUCUAAUCUUUACUAACAUUUUGUUAGCCAAGCAUGCAAUCACAACAGAAGAUGUGCCAUACCUUGUCAAACAGGUGUCCGUUUUCUCCAGUGGUCCCAAGGAAAACCAGUGAUCACAUUUCAAAAGGCAAGUCCUUUCCCCCCAGUAGCCAUGAAAGAUCUUAACACCCACAGAUCUAUCAACACCCUUACAUCAGCCAGAGAUUUUCCAUCCUGGAUCAUACCAUCAUGCCCCACAGGGUAGUGCCCACUCUGUAAAGUAACACUUGCUGUUACAUUAUUCCCAAGAUUAGCUCCUCAAAACUUCCAAAUAACAAUCCUACUAUUCUGGGAAUUUUUCAAAUAAAGCCCUAUUACUCUGACCUAUAGCCUUAAAAUUGUAUUUUUCACAGCUGAGGCAAGCAAAUUAUUCUAUGUUCACAUGAAGGCUUUUCUCUCCUCUUUGAUCAUUUUAACUGUAUUGAUUUUAUAUACAUAGACAAGAACUAAAUUUCAUGAAAAAUAACUAGUUGGAAAACCAUAGAAAAUACCUUUUAAUCAACUGACUAAGAAACCAAACACUCCCAAGUUCUCAUAACCCUAGUGAGGAAUUACAAUGAAUGAAGUGACAUUAUAUUAAUUUCAUUCUUGGAAUGCAUCCGUAACAGUUAAUGGAAAGGGAAACCUUAGGAGGUCUUAAUGCCUGGGAAACACCCAUCAUGUAACUGAAAUCCCUAGAACCCACCCACAUCUACCAACAAAUCUGCUUAAAUCCAAUCAUUUAAAUCCUAUAAAAAUGAAGACUUAGAGAAAAAAUAGAACGAGAUGGGAAAUAACAAAAAAUCAUCUAUCUUCCAUUGUUUUGUUUGUUUUAUGACUUGGCUCUACACGAUUUAUUGUAGUUAUUUAGAAUUUUCUUCAACCUUGAAGCAGAGAGCUGAAAUAUUAAAAUUCAUUCACUCACUUACCCUUUCAACAAACAGGAUAAGGAAUGGAAUUACAUGACAAUCAUGUGAAUAAAAAUCAAGCUUACAAAAUGUCUCCUAUGUACCUCACACUAUACUAAAUACCAUAUGAUGAAUAUCAACACAACAAUUAAUAUGAAAGGCAUAUCAAUGUCUAACAUAUCCAUCAGUAUCAAUCUCUCCAAUUUACACCUGUGGAAACUGAGGCUCAAAGCAAUUAAAUUAAGGGAUUUGGGGGUCCAUCAACACAUAGAACUCUAAUGGCCAUUGAUUUUGUGUUUGAAAUUACUUAUUUUGUUUGUUUUUAAAAGAUUUCCAGAGUCACAACAGAUCCUAAGGCAAAAUAUAAGCAUUGCAAAUAAGGGUCAUUUUGUUAUGGGAGGGAAAAGAAACACACUCCCAGAUUCAUAAAGUGAAGAACAUGCUAUACUUGUAUAUAACCUGUAGAAGUGAUGACAACCCUCUUGUUUGGUUCAAGACACUUUAAACCAAGAAAUACUGUGUGUACAUCUAGGUAAAAUGUUUAAAAGGGAUGUGGGAAAACAGAAAGGGCCACAGAGCAGACUGAUCCUCUAGGGCUAAGGUCCCUGAACUCUUUAACCUGGAGAAAAUGAAGAUACAUGCUAGUCAACGGCCUCCUCCCAUGUGAAAAAUUAUGAAGAGCCACCUUCCACCUCAAUAACAAACAGAUACAAGUCUUGGGACACAAGUAUCCCUAUCAAGAAAGAUCACUUUAAAUACCAUAGGAACAAAUACCUAGUUAACCUUGUUGUUCAAAAAUAGCCUCCCUAUAGAUAGGAUAUUAACUGUAUCUAAAAUUUCUAUAACUUAUGUCUGUGGCUCUUCUUUGAAAAAAAAAAAUCUGAAAAAUGGAAUAUUAGAGCCAGUGAAAAUUUCACAGAAUGCUUGGCCUACCAGGAUGGCACAAAAUACCUAUUGAGCAAGGAGGACAUUGCUUUCUCCUUUAAAAUUGGGUAGGAAAGUAACUGCCUUCUAAUGUGGUUUGAACCAUUCUUACUCUGCUGAAGUCAGAGUAAAGAAAGAAUAAGAGUUGGGUCUUGAAACUUGGAAAGAAGAUUCUGUGCUAUUUUCUUCUCUUUGGCAGGUCAAGGCACCAAUUUCUAUUAUAUAUUUUCACACCUUCUAGUGAAACUAUUUCUGUAACCCUCCAAAGACUGUGAGUUCCCUGAGUGCAGUCUUCUUUGUGUCUACUUGGCACAUCUUGCAAAGGUUGGCAUAGCUCAGACAGGGUGAGAUGGGUGGAAAAUGGACAGACAAAAGCAUCUUUUGCCUCUAACUUGUCUGGAAGUUUUACUCUCCAUAACAGCCCUGGUUAAGAUGUAACUCAAAGAAUAAAAACUAAGAUAGUAGGUUUUUCUUUGGUGGGAUAGGUCAGUUCUAUAUCCUGAUUGUGAUGGUGAUUAUCCAAAGGUAAAUAUGUGAUAACAGGCCAGGUGCAGUGGCUCACACCUGCAAUCCUAGCUCUCUGGGAGGCCAAGGC